AUCACCUCAUGAUUGCUGAUCAGCAUGUAAAUGAGAGUGGAAUCCCAUAUAUACCUGGAAAACUGGCAUGCGACCCGCCAAUUAAUUAAUCCAAGAAAGUGAAAACGUGCAUUUCUGUUAGCCUAAUUUUAAUAAUGGCGACAGGUGAGAAAAGAGGAAAAAACGUAAUUUCUCAGAUACUGAGAUUGAAACACUUGUAGGGGAGGUGGAGGCUCGGAAAACUGUGUUAUUUUGGUGGCCACAGCAGUGGGGUCACUAAUAAAAAGAAGCAGUGCGAGUGGCAAAGUAUUGCUUCUGCCGUCAAUUGUGUCAGUGGGACAGAACGGACAGUUGCAGAAUUAAAGAAAAAAUGGUCCGACCUGAAGGUGGAGGCAAAGAGAAAACUGUCCUCCCACCGCCAGAGCGUGGCUGCAACUGGUGGGGGCCCAUGUACAGCUGAUCUCACAUCAGUGGACAGCAAAAUCGCGGCUAUAAUUGGGGAGGUCAGCGUGUGUGGUAUUGUGUCGGAAAAGGAGGGAGACACUGACGUGACUGAAACCACAGAGGAGCAAGUCCUUCCGGAGUCUGAAGCUGUAAAUGAACAGGAGGUUCAGGGUGAGGGGUUCUCAGAUGCAGAUGCACAGCGUCCGGCUCAAAGCAGUGCCCCUUCUGCGUCUGGCACGUCCAAAAGUGGUCGGGUACUCACUGACGCAGUCCUGCAGUUACAGCGAGAGACAAUAAACGCUGUCAACG